CAUAUACACUGAUUUUGAAUGGAUAUAACUCUUCAAAAGUAAGUAAUUGCUUAAAUACUGAAGAAAAAAAUUAUUCUUUCAAAGCUGGUGACUUGCUAACUUCCCUCUCAUCCUGCUACCAGUCAAUAGACUACGUAAAAGAAAAUAAAAGAAACAACAGGACCGCACUUACUACAUAUACAUUAUACCUCUAGACAUGUACUAAAGAUGCAACCAAAUUGCAGCACAUUUUUCUGCUCUGGUUCAAGCUGCAUGUUUCCUACGUCCUACCUCAGCCAAAGAAACAACUUCAACUCAAUUCUAGGUAGCUGCAUUGCCUAUGUCUGAAACCCAACAUACGAUUGAUAUUCCCAGCUGCAUUGUCUAUGUCUAAAACCCAGCAUACAAUUGCCUUAUGUGCUAGAUUCUCAAGAGAAGUUUUAUUGUCGCUUCUGCAGAAAGUAGAAGCAUUAUUACAUAAAUAAUAAUGCUCUAGUAGUGCAGAACUGGAUUGCAUAAUAAGUUGUGGUACAUUGGGCAACAGAGAAGCUAUGCAUUGGGUAUUAAUUAUCUUCUGAAACUGUAGUACAUACCUCAGGUGAAGCAUGGUCAGACGGAGUUCCGGUGAAGGGUGGAGCACGAGCGGAUAGUGUUCCUGCUAAGUCGGCGGAACGACGAGAUUGGAUGGAUACCGCCUGUGACCCGGUCAUUCAGCAGUAUCUAGGGGCCACUUUAGGGACUUCGUCAUGCACAACUGCGUCUCCAUCGAUCCCUGCCCCAAUGAACACCUUGCCGGAUGCCAGAGUUCCACACCAAUGAACACCUUGCCAGAUGCAUGCCUAUACAGAGGGAGUACACGUGAAAGAACAUUAAUUCCAUGUAGUAAUACUGCUUAUGUGAACUAAUUAUGGUAAACAAAAUUUCAGCUAAAAUAAAGAAAGAUUGAAAACAGUUUAAAUAAGUUUUCGAAUAUUUUAGUUAUUCAUACAAACAUCUUCAUGAAAUAUGGCUGACAACCUCCAUAUCAACAAACAUGCAAUUACAGAUAGUUACAACUAAACUUGUCUGUCGUUGUCUUACUUCAAAGUAGGUGAGUACCUUGUCCAGCAGUGGCCUGAGCUUGGACAAUUCAUAUCAUUGCACAUAUAUUUUUCCUACAUGUAUUAUGACAAUUUGUUCAGAAAAGCAGGUUAACUAAGAAAAGAUGAAUAUAUAAAGAUUUAUAUAUUAGAUCUGACAUCAUAAAUCUCCAAACAAUUUUGUGCUCCCACUCUCUGCCAGCAUUACAGAAGAUGAGAAACUCUAGGCAAUUUCCAUGGAAAUUUACCACAUAUCAUGGAACUGGUAUAUUAUAUCAUACCAUGGUACACAAUAUUUCUUCUUUAUCCUUUUUGUAAUUCAAGCUUCAAAGAAAUAGCCAAUGAAAAGGUACUGAAAAUGUCAAAACAUUGGGCAAGAUUCGUGAGAAUGUCUGCUAGUAUAACAAUAAAAUAGACAGAUAAAUAACCAAGCAAUAAGUAGAUGGUAAGAAACUAAGCAUGGAUGUCAUUUUGAACCAAGCCUGAAGCUCUGUCUUAUGGAUUGAUAACAAUGGUG
rnacentral:lncRNA from 1 species